UGGAGACCAGAGAGGGUCCAGGGAACUCGACAACUGAAUAUGUAAACUACCUCGUGUUUGGGCUUAAAUUAUUUGUAUUGACAAGACCUUUGCAACAGUGAAAGUUUGGAGCUGACCUGAUGAUGGAGACCAGAGAAAAUGGAGGGAACUCGACAACUGAAUAUGUAAACUACCUCGUUUUUGGGCUUAAAUUAUUCGUAUUGACAAGACCUAUGCAACAGUGAAGGUUUGGAGCUGACCUGAUGAUGGAGACCAGAGAAAGUCAAGGGAACUCGACAACUGAAUAUGUAAAAUACCUCGUUUGGACUUAUAUUCUUUGUAUUGAUGAGAACUUCCCACUUGUAUGGAUAGUGACAACUAUUCGUAUCACUGAAAAGCUUUAAAUAAAUAACCUUUUUACAAAAAAAUUAAACCGAGUUCC
rnacentral:lncRNA from 1 species